ACGCUGGCGGCAGGCCUAACACAUGCAAGUCGAGCGGCAGCGACAUAAACAAUCCUUCGGGUGCGCUUAUGGGCGGCGAGCGGCGGACGGGUGAGUAAUGCCUGGGAAUMUGCCCURAUGUGGGGGAUAACCAUUGGAAACGAUGGCUAAUACCGCAUAAUCUCCUUUCUUUAGGUAGAGGGGASCWAAGCGGGGGAUCUUCGGRCCUCGCCCGCUAGGAUKWGCCCAGGUGAGAUUAGCUARUUGGUGAGGUAAGAGCUCACCAAGGCGACSAUCUCUARCUGGUCUGAGAGGAUGAUCWGCCACACUGGAACUGAKACACGGUCCAGACUCCUACGGGAGGCAGCAGUGGGGAAUAUUGCACAAUGGGGGAAACCCUGAUGCAGCCAUGCCGCGUGUGUGAAGAAGGCCUUCGGGUUGUAAAGCACUUUCAGUCGUGAGGAAGGCAUAUGCGUUAAUAGCGUAUGUGUUUGACGUUAGCGACAGAAGAAGCACCGGCUAACUCCGUGCCAGCAGCCGCGGUAAUACGGAGGGUGCGAGCGUUAAUCGGAAUUACUGGGCGUAAAGCGCAUGCAGGCGGCUUGUUAAGCCAGAUGUGAAAGCCCGGGGCUCAACCUCGGAAUAGCAUUUGGAACUGGCAGGCUAGAGUCUUGUAGAGGGGGKAGAUUC
rnacentral:rRNA from 1 species